GACGAACGCUGGCGGCGUGCCUUAUACAUGCAAGUAGGACGCAGUUGCGAACGGGUGAGUAACGCGUAGGUAACUACCUAUUAGAGGGGGAUAACUAUUGGAAACGAUAGCUAAUACCGCAUACUAGUAGAUGGACCUUCGUUGUAUUUGCUAGUAGGUAGGGUAAUCGCCUACCUAGGCAACGAUACAUAGCCGACCAUGAAGGGUGAUCGGCCAGACUGGGACUGGGACACGGCCCAGACUCCGACGGGAGGCAUCAGUAGGGAAGCUGCGGCAAUGGGAGGAAGCCUGACCGGGCAACGCCGCGUGAGGGAAAAAGGGUUUCGGGUCGUAAAGCUCUGUUGUUAAGGAAGCGGUACUAAACCAGAAAGGAACGGCUAACUACGUGCCAGCAGCCGCGGUAAUUC
rnacentral:rRNA from 1 species